UUGAGCCGGAUGCGGUGAAAGUCGCAAGUCCGGUUCUUAGGGGGGAUGGUUCAGUAAUGAACUGUCCCUACCCUCC
rnacentral:ncRNA from 1 species